rnacentral:tRNA from 1 species
CGGGACGUAGCUCAGUUGGCUAGAGCGCCUGCUUUGGGAGCAGGAGGUCGCGAGUUCGAGUCCCGCCGUCCCGACCA